rnacentral:lncRNA from 1 species
CCCUUCCUUUUAUCUUUCCUAAACCGAGGGUCUUUCGAAAACAGUCUAUCUGCCUUCUUGAAGGUAGGGGUAAAAUAUGCGCAUAUACUACCCUCCCUAGACCCCAUUUGUGCGAUUAUACUUGAUUUUUGUUGUUGCUAUUGUUGUAAUAAAAUGAAACGAAGAACGAUUUUCUCUGUUUCCUUAGGAUGGAUAACAAUUGAACAAGGACUUAAGUUAAUAUACAAUAAUAGCAUAAAAAUAUUUUACCGACCAAUGUUUAUGUCAGGCAAAGCACGAAAAGUGAUUGAUCAAAUUCGCGGACGUUACUACGACGAAAAGCUUAGAGCUCAUGCCUUUUCAAGCAUGUCAUCCCAUUUUGAAAUUGGUUUAUAUUGGGGUCUGGGGAGGGUAGUGUGUACGCAGACCUUACCUCUACCCUAGGGUAGAGAGACUGUUUCCAAAUAGACCCCCGGCAUCCUUCCCUCCAAGAACUUCUCACCUUGCUCCUGGAGAGACUCGAACUCACAACCUCUCGGUUGAAAGUGGGGGUUGCUUACCAUCAGAGCAACCCCUCUUGUCAGUAAAGGUCAUGUAGAUUUACAUAUAUUUACCUUAUAAGUGAUCCGAC